CUUCAGUAGGUAGUAUAUAGAUAUAUUAUAUACAAUGUGUGUGUGUGAUUUACUUUUGAUUUUUACAUCUGGUUCCAUGUUUGACCCUCCAUACAUACAGAAAUAAAGACUUCAAUUCUGUUAACAAUCUGUUUUUUUCUUAUUCUAUGAACAAGUUUGACCCCUAGACAUAGUCUGUGGUGUGUCCUUACCUGAUAAACCUCUAUUU